GUCAACAUAGGCCAGAAAUGACUUGAAGUCAUACCACAGUGACACAGAGACUAUGUUUCUGCAAUAUCUCCUGACAUUUAUCAAGGUUUGGGAAGAUUGCAUGAUAAAACUAGUGGUUUUACAAUAUUUAUUCUAGCUGUGACAUCAGGGACAGAAUAUCUGGAUGAAGAUGUUGCCAAAGAUAAGAGUUCCACGUUGGUAAACCUACAUCUGAAGAACGUAACUGUAAAUAUUGCAAAAAUUAUUGGCUCUUGCCCUUUUUAUAAUCAAAAUGUUGCUCUAACACUGAUAAUUCUGCAUAUUAGAUUUUAGCAGUGAGGAAUCAAUGUUACUCAGGAUCCUUCUGUAUUAUGAUUAACCAUAAUAGUAAAAAAGUUCCAGUUCAUCUCAUGAUGAUGAUAGCAAAAUCUCUAAGAGGAAAAGAGCAUCAGUUGCCCUGACUUAUCCCUUUCAUGCACUUCUGGAAUGAGGUAUGUUAUGCAAGGGCACACCUUAACGUGGACUGAAAGCAGCUUGAAAAUGUUGGUGGUUAAAUGGCGCAUGGUUUUACUGGUCCUAACUCAGCCUUGCUGAAUUUAAAAGGACAUUUGAAUCACAACAUCGCCAUCUGGAUUUCUGACAAGACCAGGAAGCUUAGUAGAGCACAGUCAGCUGUUGAGUGUUUUUGUUGCUGAAGUCAGGUGGUAAAAAUAGAGGUCACAGCUUCACCCUGGAAAAGUGAUGGGCUGCUGGCUUAUAGCAAAGAGAAAGAAGUACUUCUUCCCAUAUGGAGUUACUACUCCCAUCUGUGGAAUGAGCUUUAUGACAGCAAAAUCUUUCAAGGCCCCGUUCAUCUGAUCUCUCCCCAAAUGAGUACAAAGAUACUCUUUUACUCCCAAGUCCACAUCAUUAACUGCUCUAGCAAUAACACCAAGGCAUGGUGACAUUAUGUCAUGCAUUUUAUGUGACAAGACAUUCCUACAAGGAAGAGAAUAAGACUCCAGACACUUAUUAGUAUCCACAAUCUUUAGGUGAUGUAAUAUCUACAUCUUGCAAUAGAGUUAGCACUGGCCAAGGAAAGGCUAGCAGUGUGAUAGGGUUAGCAGUAAAUCCAGUCUACUAACAGCUGGAGUAUAUCACUUGUGCUUUUUGCCACCAUGAUUCAUUAAAACCAGCAUGGGACCUUUCCACCUCAGUACAUCAGAUUGCCUUGGAAAAAUGACAAAAGAUAACACUUUUUGUCUCAGAUUUUUUUUUUGCCUGAUUUUCUUUUCUUUUUUUCAAAAAAUCUCAUUUGUUUCUUUGUAUUUAGAAAGGACAUGUAUUCAGUAGUUAUGCCUCAUUGCUGGUCUAUAAAAACCUACUGUAUGAUCCUUGUUGUGCUUUCUUAUAGGCAUAUCUAGGAACUCCUGUAUCUAAAUAUGAUCUUGUAGUACACCAAAGAACAGUAUGUAGGCUAAGAGUAAGGUGGCAAGCUGCAAAAGAGAACAACGUGUCUGACCUUAUAACAGACCAUAAAAGAAAUGUCAGGAGGUGGAGAUAUUUUAUACUCCUGUGCGACAAGCUAUAAAGGCCACUUUCCUAGCACUAUAAAGGGUAGAAAAUGAUGGCCAUGUUUUGUACCUGAGGAACAUUCCUCAAAAUGUCUGUCUCUUCAUCCACCUAAUUCAGAGCUUGAAAGUAACUAGUUAUGUCUAGGUUGUAACUUGUAAUUCCUCCCUCCUACCUUGGAGUGUGGUGGAGUUUAUUAUUCUAAUUAAAAGUACUUAAAAGCAUGCCCAUUCAAAGGAUCUUUUCCCAAUCAGAUUUUAAAGGCCUGCCAAAAUAAAAAAAAAGUAUUUGCUUGCCUAUGGAAAAGUAUGGAAAAGUAGCUAAGGACCUCUUCAAAUGGGGCUAAAAUCGAUGAUAGGUGCCAGUUUAGCUCGGGUGUCCCACAGAGCCCAUUGGCUCCCAUCAAACAAUGCUUGUGUGGCUCUGUGAGUGAAAGAGAGUGGAGUCGGUACAUGCUGUGUUGACACUGGAAUCCAUGGGGAGAAGCUGGAUGCUCCAUUCAUGUGCCAUGCUUCCCCCCAUGUGACCACCCUCAGCUGGAGCUGGGCAAAGCAGGGUAUGGGGUGCCGGGUUCCCCACACCUCUCAAUGAAGCAGAGCAACUCGGCCGGCCAUGUGACAUGGUUGAAAGAGGGCAGUAGCCCAACUUUUCUAAGGAGGGAUUUCCAGAGUCUGGGAGCAGUAGACCUUCUCCCAUAUUCUUGCCAGACAGACCAGUGUGGUCUGGAAAUGGUCAGAACAAAGGUUGCUUAGUAUGUGAAGAUUAUGGUCUGGUAGCCUAGAGUUAAGCAAUAUUGGGCUUGAUAGGCCAUAAUAUGUUUAUGGAAUUGUUCCAAUGCCAUCUAUAGCCAACUUCAGCUAGAAAUCUAUUUGUCUGUGCACUUUCCAAAGAUUUUUGAUACAGUCUUUUAGGAUAAAAAUCACUUUCUAAAAACAAGCAGUGGAGCCAGAAAAUAGGAAAGCGCUCGGUUUGCAUGUUGUUUGAAUAUUUAUGCUAGAAGUAGCUAUUAAACUUUGUAUUGUUUACUUCAGCUCUGGCAGGGAAUAUAAUACUCAGAGCAGCCUAUAAAUGUCGUUUCAUUGGACUAGGCCAUAAUUGUUAAUUUCCACUAGACUGAGGCCAGUUUAAAGCAUUUAGUAUCAGGCUAAAAUGUAAAUCUAAUAUACCGUAACUAUAAUGAAGAAAGCUAUGGUCUGAUUCUCCUGUCUAGAAAUCACUCAGGAUAUUUUGCACCUAAGCGAACAGAUGUUCAUCCAUUUAAGUGGUAGCUGGAUUGUAUUGCCAUUAUUAAAUAAAGAGCUUUCAGAAUGUAUGUGAGUCUAAUAGAAGAAGCCAAACAAGAGAAAAAAGUACAAUCUGACACAUCAAUAUAAACAACUAAACAAUGGGUACAUCUCCAUUUUCUGAGUGGACCAUUGUUGUUUUUGAUUCUAUCCCUUCCUGCCUCAUUAUUCAUCCUGUAAUUAGAAGAUAAAAUAACACUGUGAAAAGGGUAAUUUUUAAAGGUGAGGCAUAAAUUGUAGAGGAAUAAUCCUUCAUAAAUUUAUUUAUUUAUUAUAUUUAUACCAUGCUCUUCUCACCCCGAAGGGGACUCAGAGAGGCUUACAGAUUAUGACAAAAUAUAAUUAAUAAAGUUUUAAUGUAAUUAACAAAAUAAAGUUUUCUUGAGUCUAGAACUUGGGGUAUUCGUGUUGUAUAUGGGCACCUCACAUAAAAAUUUUAUGGGGCCUGUAAGGAGAGGGUGAGGUGCCCAUGUAUAACUCAAACUCUCUAGCUUCUAGAUUCAAGAAAACAUUAUGAAAGUUUCUAUUACAGUUCCCACCAGCCAUGUCAACAAAAAUAUUAAUAAGACCCCAGCUUGGAUGAGUCUAGUCAUUAUUAUCAUUUGCAGUCAAACUUGGGGCAGUUUUUACAGCUAGAUAUUUUCUAGUUAUGCCAUGAUGAUUGCAUCUCAUGAUAACAGUUCUUGUUUUUAGCACAUACUCCUUGAAUGUAAGAACAGGAAACUGAAAAUUAUCAUGUAAUAAUACUAUAAAGUGUGACUGACAACUGGGAGCCACUGCAAUGAAAAGUAGUGAAGAGUUCAUAUUUUUAUCAGAUGUUACAAUCAGUCUUGUUUUAUGUUUUCCCCAAUUCCUGUAAUGGUGGGAGCAAACAGAGAAAUCUGCAAAGUUAAAAGACAAGUAAAAGAACAAAGUAUUGUACAUUCGCAGUUAGAGCUGGCCCAAAUAUUAGGCAGGGUGAAGUGGUGGAUGCUAAGAGACAGCAGCAUUGUAGUGAUUUCAGCUACCCUGUUUCCCCGAAAAUAAGACAUCCCCAGAAAAUAAGACCUAGUAGAGGUUUUGCUGAAUUGCUAAAUAUAAGGCCUCCCCCGAAAGUAAGACCUAGCAAAGUUUUUGUUUGGAAGCAUGCCCGCCAAACAGAACACCAGAGCAUGUGGGAUUGGUAAAUGUACAUACCAUAGAUUGUUGUACAUGGAAAUAAUGGUAGUAACAAGAAAUUUUUGAUAAGAUUCACAGUUUGUUUGGUUAUGCUGGUUUGUGAUGACAACUACUGUACAGUAUAUAAUAAAUGUUCAUUUUUUUGUUCAACAAUAAAUGUGAAUUCUUCUUCAUGGAAAAAUAAGACAUCAUCUGAAAAUAAGACCUAGCGCCUCUUUGGGAGCAAAAAUUAAUAUAAGACACUGUCUUAUUUUUGGGAAACACGGUAGGACCGCAGAUAGAGAGUCCAUGCCUAGUGAGUAUAUGCUAAACCAGAUAGGCUAGGACAGGAAAAAAAACUCACUAAGUUGAAGACAAGCCACAGAAGUUUAAUAUGAUUUGGCCAAAAAAUAAUGCAAGUACAAGCAAUUUGCUUCAAGAUAUACAAGCAUGAAUUCACAGAAAAAUACAAAACAUCUUAUACAGUUCUAUUCAAACUUCCUGCUCCCUGCCCUGAUUGUCUGAAAAAGAGGCAGGCUAGGAUCUGUGCCGGGAUUGGCUGGGAACUCUGUUGACAUCGCCGCCUCCAGGUGUGGAUUCCCUGGCAAGGAGAAUGGGAUUGGCCAGUGUAAAGGAACAAUCAGCUGUAGAGACGCCCCCUGGGAUGGAGCAGUUUGUGAGGAAUAAAUGGCACAGAUAUGUUGAUGAGCUUUUGAUUAGCUCAAAUGGCCAGUUCCGUGCCAAACAAAGAUAUAGAGCCCAGGACACAAAGUUGCAAGACUCAAGGGACAAAAGUGCUGAUCUUAGGUAAUCAAGGACCUAGCUGUCAAUAAAAGAGUUCAGGAAUGCACAUAUUCUAAGACCCUGUUUCCACAAGGGAGCAGCAGAUUCUCAGCCUCAGGUGAACUGAACAAACAUACCAAGCUUAUCUAGCUGGCAAAAGGAGAUCACUCUGAUUAUUAUCUGGCUUGGGAAACAGACAGAGGGGUUUCCUCACUUUUCCAUUCCCAGGAGAUUACUUGAACAGGGUCACAGAAGGGUGGCUGUCUCUAGGUUAUAUUCCAAUACAUUUAAAGAAAAAAGUGUGUAUACACUUCAUAUGAGAAAUAGAUACAGUACAUAGUUUAAAAGGUACAAAUUACACAAAAAUCAUCAAAUCGAUUUAUUAAAGGGUUAGGUACAAUAUAGUUCACGGAGUGUAGCUGCUGCUAGGUUUAUUCCCAAUCUUCUAAGGCUUUGAACUUGUGCAUCUCUGAACCCAAUUGGAAAGGUCUCUUUAAUAAAAGGAAAAAAACAAACAUAUAUUUAUUUGUGGUCUUUUAGUGAACUAUAAAUCAUUUGGGGGUGUUUACCAUGGCUCUAUAUGGCUCAAAAGCAGCAUGAUGUUAGAAAGGAAAAUUGUUUGAAACACAGCCUGCUUAAGCUAACCUGUUGUCUUCAUAGGAGGUCACAAUCAUUCAUUUAUAUGGCACUAGCAGUGUACAUGGUGCAUUAAAGGAAAAACAAGGUGUACACAUUUAUACACCUACAUGCACAUGGGAAGGAAGGAAUAAUACAAAUAUAAAAUUACACAACUGGAAAAAAAAAAUUCAGAUAGAAUUGUAAACCAGUGGAAUAUAAUAUAAUUCAAACUCUUAUAUACAUACAAUCAAAAUAGUAAAGAUUAUAAAAUAAUAUUAAAAUAAAAUUCCAAAAGCUUCAGAAAACAAAGUUUUUAAUUGAGAUUUAAAGAUGAAUGAGAGAAAGAGCAAGAAAAGAAUGUUGUGAAUGAGGUGAAGAAUGUAGCUCCAUUGUCAGUGUUCAAGAAAGAUUACAUUACUGCUGCAGGCAACCUUUUGUCAAAGAAUGGGAGGAGACAUCUGUCUUUUUUUUAUGCCCCAGGCUAUGAAAUACCUUGGGUCAGUCCAAUGUGCAGUACAGGGUGUAGAUGAAUUACUCAUUUCUACAUAAGCUUUAUUUCAUUUACCAAAAAAGGAGAAAAAAUAAAAAGGAAUGUGUACAGCAAUGAAUCACAGACAUAGAUCUGUACAUGGGGAUCCUACCCUCUGUUCAUAUUUUCGGUUUGCUCAUGAGGUGCACACAAUGCAGACUCGAAUAUAUGGCCGCCUCACUGCUCUUCCUAUCCUGCAGCUAAAUCUAAGUACUUUUCGCUGGAUCUCUGCCUCUAUAUAAUCCUUGUUUUUUUUCAAGAUUACAAAAUCUGUCAAUUUAGAACACUAAAGAUUUUAUUCAGAUGUUCUUGUCAUUAUUCAAGUCAGCAUACUAAAUUAUUAUUAUUCUCCCUCAGGAAACUCUACCAAACGUAUGUAAGCCAACAAGUCAUGCAAUCACAUUUAAUUGCAAUCUUGUGAAACUGUCUUUUUCAGCUUUGUUUCCCAAGACUGGAAAGCAAUAAAAAAAGAAAAUGACUAAUAAAUGCAGAUAAGUUUUUUUUCCCUUCAGUAUCCAUUUGAGAUUUGAAAUAAUGCUUUUUUUCUCAUACAUACAAUUUUCAUUUGAAUGUUUGUUGUAGUUACAGAUGUUGUCUUAAGGUCAUGUCUUUCUUUCGAUAAAAAAAGAAAGAAAUCUGGCAUUGCUGUCCUAUGCAUUUCUGAUUUAUGGCAACCCUAAGGUGACCCUAUUACGGGGUUUUCUUGGUAAAAUUUGUUCAGAGAUGGUUUGGCUUCACCUUUCUCUGAGGCCGAGAGAGUGUAACUCGCCCAAGCUUACCCAGUGUGUUUCCAUGGAUGAAUGGGGAUUCAAAUCCUGGUCUCUAGAGUCAUAGUCUAAUGCUCAAACUACUAUGACACACUGGUUCUCAAACAUGCGUAGUCUAAGAGAAAAUUGUCCUUUGAAAACCUCAUUGAUUUGCUCUACAUAAGAGCUCUUGUAUAACUCCUGCUCCUUUCAAUGGAAACACAGUGGAAGUUCUCAUCAGAUUUUUAAAAAUGUUUUGACAUAGGAGGAAUACAUACACACACACGAGCUGGCCAAAGCCAUUGAAUGGAUUUAAAAAUCAAAGUCCAAAAUUGAUGAGCAAAAAUAAUUUGGGCCUAUAUUUGUUCAUUUGAUCAGAAUAAUAACUCCAGGAAUCUUUACAUAUGUAAUGCACACUGCACAAUUUCUGGCACUGCACUGGCCUAGGAUAACAAGGUCUUAACUGGAAUGAGACUUCUUGGAGCCAGGAAUUUCCUAAAACUACAUGGCAAGCGGAUGAAGCCUAAAUAUAUAACUUUAAGAAAUUCCAAAGUCAAACAAGCAUGAAAUAUUAUAAUUGUUGAGGAUUCCUGAAUGAGAUGUAGAAGUGUGUGAGUUACUGUUUUGAGCUUCCUUAGUCUCAAGAGAUUGCCACAGGCAAAAUAGUGGAAGGGAUGGUCAUAUUUCACCUAACCACACGCAAUCUCUCGGUCUCCCCAAUUAACUGGAGAGAAUCAGGUAAGAAGAAUGAAAAGAUAUAUGAUGUGCAUUCACUUCAGUUGUCGUAAGAGUAUUUUAGUGACUUAGAUAUUUCAAGAAAGGGUUUGGAUGGAAAUAAAAUCAACACAAGAAGAACUAGACAUUCUCCAAAAUUCCAGAGAUGUUCCCCCUCUUCUGGACAAGACAUUAAUAACCUAUUUCCCAUUUAUUUUAGCUAUGCUGUGUAUUAAUUUGUGUUGCAAGGUGCCAUGUGGGAAAAAGAUGAACUAUACAUUAAAGAAACAUAUGAACAUACAGUGGGCCCUUGGUAUCCACUGGAGUUUGGUUUCAGGAUCACCAAUAAAUACAAAAAUUCAUAGAUGCUCACGUCUCAUUAUAUACAUGAUGGUAUAGUAAAAUGUUAUGCCUUAUACAAAACAGCAAAAUCAAAUAAUCUGUGAACCUCACCUCCUCCAAGGUGAACUAAACCACCUAAACUAAGCUUUACAGACCAGUGGAUACUCCACCAUAGAUAUCAGAAGAGCUGCAAGGCCAAGAACAAGCCAUGAGAGUAAAGACAAAGAUCCACCCAGAGGAAAAGUGUUCUUACCAUACAUCAAGGGAACCACUGAAUAGGGAAGCUGAUGAAGAAACACAACCUACAAACUAUCCUCUCAUCUCUGCAGGAGUCUACCAUAUACCAUACAGCUGUGGACAAGUCUACAUGGGACCACCAAAUGCAGCAUUGGCCAAACACGAAUCAAGGAACAUGAAAGGCACUGCAGACUGAUUCAGCCAGAGAAGUCAGCCAUAGCAGAGCACAUGAUGAACCAACCUGGACACAGUAUAUUAUUUGAGAACACAGAAAUGUUGGAGCACUCUAACAACCACCAUGUCAGACUACACAGAGAAGCCAUUGAAAUCCACAAGCAUGUGUACAAUUUCAAAAGAAAGGAGGAAACCAUGAAAAUGAACAAAAUCUGGCUACUCUAAAACUCUAAAAUCAGAACAGUAAAUAAGGAACAACACUCUGAAAACAGAGGAAUUCUAGACAUAAAUCAAUCAGGGGCAGCUAACACUUCUGAACAAAAGAUUCCCCCAGGCAGGAAGAAGCCAGAAAAUGAAUCUGGGAAAGCCAUUAAUGCUAAUCAAGGUGAUUAAUUAAAACAUUCACACAAAAGAGUUCCUUCGCCCACCCUGGACCUUCCACAGAUAUAUAAACCUUCCUUGCUUAGUUUUUUCCAAUAUACCUCACAACCUCUGAGGAUGCCUGCCAUACAUGUGGGCGAAACGUCAGGAGAGAAGGCUUCUGGAACAUGUCCAUACAGCCUGGAAAACACACAACAACCCUGUGAUUCUGGCCAUGAAAGUCUUCGACAACACAAAAAUCAAAGUUUGCUUUAUGGAUUUUUAUUUCGUAAUGUGUUUGAGUCAUGGUUGCUUGAAUUCAUGGAUGCAGAAUCUGUGCUUAUGGAGGUCCAGCUGUAUUUGAUUUUCUUCUUCCAUUCCCUUUAUCUGUUCAUUUCUUUUCCUGUCUUCUUUACCAUGCAGGGGUUCCUCUCUCAGGCAUGCACAGGUUUCAGUUUAUAUGAAAGUUAUGCAGUUUCUAAGCAAACCAUGCAACUUUCAUAGAAAAAACUGUGCAGUUUCAUAUCCUGUCCUGGUGGGGGAAAAUCCCAAGUAUCUUGAAGCAUUGUUGUUGUUAAUUGCAUCAAGUCAACCUGAACUUGUGGCACCCUGCAAAAGCACACAACAAAAACAUAUUUCAUUGUUCUGGACAUCCAUUGGGAAUUAGAGCAAGUGAGAUUUAUCACUAUACGUCCAACCAUGAUACCCUGUUUCCCCGAAAAUAAGACAUCCCCUGAAAAUAAGACCUAGUAGAGGUUUUGCUGAAUUGCUAAAUAUAAGGCCUCCCCCAAUAGUAAGACCUAGCAAAGUUUUUGUUUGGAAGCAUGCCCACCAAACAGAACACCAGAGCAUGCAGGAUCGGUAAAUGUAUGUACCAUAGAUUGUUGUACAUGAAAAUAAUGGUAGUAACAAGAAAUUCUUGAUAAGAUUCACAGUUUGUCUGGUUAUGCUGGUUUGUGAUGACAACUACUGUACAGUAUAUAAUAAAUGUUUAUUUUUUUGUUCAACUAUAAAUGUGAAUUCUUCUUCAUGGAAAAAUAAGACAUCCUCUGAAAAUAAGACCUAGCACAUCUUUGGGAGCAAAUAUUAAUAUAAGACACUGUCUUAUUUUCGGGGAAACACGGUAGUUAACAUCUGUAGAAGCCCAAUUAACUGAUGCCCAUCCCUUAUAAUGGAUCAUGUGACUCAUUUUUUGCAAACAUGGCUGUCUGUCUCUCCAUAUUUAUUUGAUUACUUUCCUAUUAUUAUAUUUCCAUUGCCAAGGUGAGCAAAAGGAACUUGCAAGUAUUUUUACACCAGGUAAGCUAACCUGACUUGGGUAUUAUGCAUUUUGACUUGCAGGGACAGGACAUAUUAUCUACUUCCUCUUUGGCAGCAAAAUGUUUUGGAUUGACCCUGCCCAUGAAUGGACUACAGGUCUUCAGCAGAAAAUUCCACACCAGCUACCAAUCCUAUGAUACCAGAGGAUAUAGCAGUUAAAGUGGUAUCAAGUACCUAGAACAAUAUAGUAUAGAUCCAAUCAUAGUUAGGCAUAUCUUCCCUAACCACAGAUUUUCUUCUUGAUCUAGCACCUUGCAUAAUAAAAGAGUAAAGGUUUUCA